rnacentral:lncRNA from 12 species
GCUGAAAAGCUCCUUGCUCCUCCUGCUCUGUGGCAGAAGAUGCUGCAUUAGGAUUUGUACAAGGCUUUGGCACAAGUUCCCAUUCUGUGAGCUGAGAGGGACUCAGAUGGGACUGUUCCCAGUGAUGAGGAUGAGCUGCAUGAUGGGGAACAGAAGUUCUGUGUCCAUGCAACUCGUACAACAUCAAAUCUCAAGGUAACAGCAUCU